GAUGAAGAACGUAGUGAAAUGCGAUAAGUAGUGUGAAUUGCAGAAUUCAGUGAAUCAUCGAAUCUUUGAACGCACAUUGCGCCCCUUGGUAUUCCAUGGGGCAUGCCUGUUCGAGCGUCAUUUGUACCUUCAAGCUUUGCUUGGUGUUGGGUGUUUGUCCUGAGGGACUCGCCUUAAAGUAAUUGGCAGCCAGUGUUUGGUUUUGAAGCGCAGCACAAGUCGCGAUUCAAGGCUAUACACCAGCUUCCACAAGCCUUUUUCACUUUUGACCUCGGAUCAGGUAGGGAUACCCGCUGAACUUAAGCAUAUCAUAAGCGGAGGA
rnacentral:misc_RNA from 1 species